rfam:Geobacillus sp. BCO2 LR69_contig000001, whole genome shotgun sequence.
UAACAAAAGCAGAAGCACCCCGCUUCUCACCUGACCGACGCCAAGACGGCUGUUGGCAGGUUGUUACGGUUCGUCAAUGCGAGUGUAAGGACGUACUGCGCGGGUGCUUUGUGCAUCUGCGCUUUUUCGUUGAG